GUGGCUGUGGCUCAGUGUUAAGAGUGCUCUCCUAGCAUGUGCGAGGCCCUGAGUUUGAUCCUCAGCACCCCG
rnacentral:tRNA from 1 species